rnacentral:snRNA from 1 species
GGAUGAGAGGGCAAUCUGGCUGUGACAUCUGUCACCCCACUGAUCGCCAGGGUUGAUUCGGCUGAUCUGGCUGGCUAGGCUGGUGUCCCCUUCCUCCCUCACCACUCCAUGUGCGUCCCCCCGAAGCUGUGCACUCGGUCCAAGAGGACGGCCUUCCCCAAAUAGAGACAGACUGGUUUUCAGUCUUGGGUAUAGUAGUAGCAGGCUGCGCUCCCCUGCUAGAACCUCCAAACAAGCACUCAAGAUAAAAGCAGAAAUUAACAGUUAUAUUGCUACAACCAAAGCACCUGGAAUUAUCU